ACCAUCAUAUAUUAAGGUAUAGGUAUAUUUAUAUAUAACUCCUAAUAUACCAAAAUUACCAAAAUACCCUACAUACUGCUGACAGAAAACCCAAAACCAUGCCCUUGUUUGGUCUUCUUUCUAUACCAAAAUCCCUGUCAUCUACUCCCCAACCAAUCGAAUCAAGGCAGACAGAGAGCUAUCAUGCGUGGAGGGUUCAGACUGCAGCGAGGCUGAGACAGUAGCUAUGCAUUAGUAUCUCACAAACAUAUGAGGCAGCAGCAGCAAUGUGCAUCGGUUUCUCUGACCCUAUGGAAGCACGUGGGCUUGCACACUUUCUUCGUUCGUGGCACAGUUGCGCAUACCGUUAUCUAUAGGGUUACUGAACGUUGUUAUGAGGACAUUAUGACAUAUUGAAUGUUUAAAUGUUUUGCAGCACGCAUGCUCUUCAUAGGGAGUAAAAAGUUUCUGGUUGAAAAUGAGCACUAGCAUCGGCAUGCAGACAUACUGGAAGGAUAUGCACUGAGCAUCAAGGGAAGAGCAUUAGAAAGGGGGUCUGUUAGCAGAAUAUCAGAAGAGAUCAGAGACAAGAACUUCUCCCUCUUGCCACCUGUCCUGUCUUUCAAGAUCAAAUAGAUAGUGCAGAUAAGUAUGGCAAUUUACUGGAGGUGUGUAUUCUAUGCAAAGGAGCAAUUUUAUGUUGUUCUCUGUAUUUUAGGAAAACUUUAAUUGAGGCAUAAUCCUAAUUAGUUCAGCUCUUGCUAUGGAUUUAUUUUUUACUCCUAUUCAGAUUCAGUUGGCAUGCCAAGUUUCUGAAAUGGUGCAAUUUCACAGCUGGAGGGGCUACUACACUUCCAGCAACUGCAACAUCAGUCUGCCCCUUUUCAUUUGGGAUUCAGAUCUCUCAGUUUUGCGAUUCGAGGCCCAGGCUCUUCAAUUGCUAGCUGCUUAAGCUAGGUAAGGAACUUGAGAAUUAUCUACCUCAGAAGAUUCCUUUCAGAAGGGGCUUUGCAUGUUUGAUAUAAGCCAAAAUGAUCUUGCUGGUGCAUUUUAUUCUACAACACUGGAUCAGAUUCUUGCUUUUAUUCCAACAGUUUUGUCACAGUUUGAAUCAGGAAUAAAGGUUUUAGUAAUGACAUUGAAGUUUCAUUAAACAUUAAACAUUGAAGAUUUUGUUUCAGUGUUAAUCUCUGAAGUAGGAAUAACAUUGAAGUUUCAUUCUUUGCUUAUUUUCUCUAGAGAUUAUGUGGAUCAUCUUGCGUAUCAUCUAAUUUGUACUUUUGUCUCCUUUUUAUUUGACUUAGAAGCAUCGAUUAUGUUUUCAUAUUGAUCACUGAUCAUUAUGUCUCAUGUAAAUGGUCUAUAAAAGAGCCAAGCCCUGAGCCGACAUGCAUUCUUCCUCACAACUAUUAAAAUGUGUAUGCUUCUCGAUCACAAGUUGUCACUUCUCUGCCAGUUGCUCCUGCAUCUCCACUACCAGUUCCAACGCACCCUCCUUCGCAGCCAGCUCUUGGUAAGAAAAUUGAAGCCUUGCCGACAAUAGGCCCUUGGUUGCUCCCUUCGACUCCGAACAGAUCUCUGAUAAAUUGUAGGAAAGCUUGUCAACCUAUGGAGUUAUUGCCAUCACCUCCUCUUAUUCCUCCUGGUUGAAAUCAAUAUUAUGGGUUACUGUAUUGCUGCUAAUGCAAUCUGAUGGUAGCUUCCCAUCAGCAUGGGGGGAUGCAAAGGAUAAAAGUGUAAUUACACAAUGUGAUAUCAUUCUGCUACACUAGUACUUGGUAUAUAUAGCUGCAGGUCUUCAUUUUCCUGUAUGUAUCAGAGGCUAAAGUUUCUAAUACAAAUUCUCUCUCAAUUUUCUUG